rnacentral:rRNA from 1 species
GACGAACGCUGGCGGUGUGCUUAACACAUGCAAGUCGAAUGGUAAGGCCCUUUCGGGGGUACACGAGUGGCGAACGGGUGAGUAACACGUGAGUAACCUGCCCUCAUCUCUGGGAUAACAGUCGGAAACGGUUGCUAAUACUGGAUAUGAGCCUGCAAGGCAUCUUGUGGGUUGGAAAGAUUUUUUGGUUGGGGAUGGACUCGCGGCCUAUCAGCUUGUUGGUGAGGUAGUGGCUCACCAAGGCUUCGACGGGUAGCCGGCCUGAGAGGGCGACCGGCCACAUUGGGACUGAGAUACGGCCCAAACUCCUACGGGAGGCAGCAGUGGGGAAUAUUGCACAAUGGACGGAAGUCUGAUGCAGCAACGCCGCGUGCGGGAUGACGGCCUUCGGGUUGUAAACCGCUUUCAAUUGUGACGAAGCUUUUUGUGACGGUAGCAGUAGAAGAAGCACCGGCUAACUACGUG